UACGUAGGGGGCAAGCGUUGUCCGGAUUUAUUGGGCGUAAAGAGCUCGUAGGCGGUUUGGUAAGUCAGGUGUGAAAUCUCCACGCUCAACGUGGAGGGGCCACCUGAUACUGCCAUGACUGGAGUCCGGUAGAGGAGUGUGGAAUUCCCGGUGUAGCGGUGAAAUGCGCAGAUAUCAGGAGGAACACCAGUGGCGAAGGCGAUCAUCUGGGGUUGUUCUGACACUGAGGAGCGAAAGCUAGGGGAGCAAACGGG
rnacentral:rRNA from 1 species